rnacentral:rRNA from 1 species
UACGUAGGGUGCAAGCGUUGUCCGGAAUUAUUGGGCGUAAAGAGCUCGUAGGCGGUCUGUCACGUCGGCUGUGAAAUCCCGAGGCUCAACCUCGGGUCUGCAGUCGAUACGGGCAAACUAGAGUAUUGCAGGGGAGACUGGAAUUCCUGGUGUAGCGGUGAAAUGCGCAGAUAUCAGGAGGAACACCGGUGGCGAAGGCGGGUCUCUGGGCAAUAACUGACGCUGGAGGAGCGAAAAGCGUGGGGGAGCGAAACAGG